rfam:Paenibacillus sp. JDR-2, complete genome.
AAAGUUUGACAGACAAUCGCUGGCGGCCUCGUUGCCGCGAGAGGAAAGUCCGGGCUCCACAGGGCAGGGUGCUGGAUAACGUCCAGUCAGCGCGAGCUGAAGGAUAGUGCCACAGAAAUGGACCGCCGAUGGCUGGUUUACACCAGCACAGGCAAGGGUGGAACCGUGGUGUAAGAGACCACGAGGAGUAUGGGUGACUAUAUUCCUGGUAAACCCCACUUGGAGCAAGACCGAGAGAACGUAGCAGCCUAGAGCUGCAGCCUUAGCCCGAGGCUCGUUCGGGUUGGUUGCUUGAGCUGUUUAGCAAUGAACAGCCUAGAUAGAUGAUUGUCGCUUCUUCGUGGGAGGGUCGUUCCCGUUAAUACCACUUGAAGUACAGAACCCGGCUUACGGCAAACUUUCCGC